CCGCCGGAUCUCCUAGUGAGGAGGCCGGGACCGCCGGAUCCGGUGACCCCGGUCUCCUCGCCGGUGGAUCCGGCG
rfam:Oryza glaberrima chromosome 2 Oglab02_0153_3, whole genome shotgun sequence.